UUAAAACCUACACAAAAAAAAAAAAAACGAGCUCCCAACUCUCUCUCGCGUCCGCCAUUGGAGAUAUGGGAGUACCGUCGAAGAAAAUUGCUAAUGGAAAACGUCACGAUUCUACAAAGUCCUUUAAACCAACGAAGAAACCGUUUAAGAAGACGAAGGACGAUUUAGCUGCUAGGUCUGAAGCCGCUCUACAGCUCGAAGAUGUUCCUGACUUCCCUCGAGGUGGAGGUAGUUCUCUGAGUAGAAAAGAGCGUGAGAAAAUUUAUGAAGAAGUGGA